UUCCUGAUGCACAGCAAAGCUCGUCUGCGAUCAAACUUAUCUGUGCAUAGAAGGUGUGAAGUCGCAGCAGGACAUGUGCUGUUUGUCGGGCCACUUGUGAGGAAGCAGUUAGGAAAAGGAGAUGUGGAGAAAAACAAACAGACGACACGACUUAAUUAGUGAAGCUGUGGUUUAACCAUGAAACCGACCACCCCUAACUAACUGGUUGUGGAUUAUAUUGAUCUAAAAUUUAAAAAAUGAUAGUUAGAAUUUUGAUUCUUUUUAUUUAUUUAUUUUAUUUGGACACAGACGGACUGAUCCACAACGGAUGCUAUGGUUUGUUUUGCUGGUGCAAUGCUGUAAGCUGAAUUACAGAACUUUUAUUUUGAUAACUGGGGUCUGAAGAUUGUGUCGGUUGUUUAACAGACACUGAAAUAGUUGACAUGUAAUGCAUGAGAAGUCAUUUGUGUCUUUGAUGUGACUGGUUUGUAAGUUUAAGAGAGGGUUGAGGUAGAAAUUAUAGAAAUUCUGCAGUUUGAUUGGUCUCAAGAUUUCAGUCUGAAAUAACUGUUCUACCUGGUUGAAUUUCUGGAGGUUUGCUCCACUUGUCUUUGUGAAUUUUUAGAAGCAUUUAAUACAAUAUGGCUUUUUGUUGUUUUUUAGCAUUUAGGGCAUUUUUAUCAUAUAAAGAGUGAUUUAAUUUUCUCUCUAUAGUAGUGACGGUGUCAUGGUGGAGGAAGUACCUUCACUGACAAGCUGAGAAAACCCAUGAUGUUAGGAUGAUGGUGGAAUACUGCCUCCUUCAGGCGGUAGUAAAAACUACUGAAGAAAUAACUCCAGUGUACAGAUGAAUAAAGUCCUUGAUUAUAAAUCACAAUUGGUUAAAUAUCUAAUAAUAAAACAAAACAAGGAUCCAGUGAAAACCUUAAAAACCACAAUCAUCAAAGAAGACAUUUGACCAAGGCUUUUUUAGUCAUUUUUUUUAUUGAUAAUUACCCUUAGUGAAAUUAGAAUUGUGUCUAUUUUGAGUUAUUGAUCAUCCUUUGUUACCUUUGAACAUUCAGUAAACCCGUCACCAAAUCAUACACUUUGUAUUACAACAAAUCAAGAAGUGAGAAAAAUGAUU